rnacentral:rRNA from 1 species
AUGCUUGACCAACAUGGGAGAUGCGCAUACCUGCUCCGUUGGCGGUGUGCACUGAUCAUGUCCACGAUAUGGUUCCCGAGUGGAGAGCUUGCCCAUCUCACUGGUGAGAUGAUUCGUCGCUCCUGUAUCCAUAUACCACGCCGGAUCAAGAGAGUAGGACUGGGUGCGUCUGUGCUCGUGCCCCGUCACAGCAGCUGCAGCCUGCUUAUCAUUCCCUUUUCCAUUGUUACCAAGGCCAAGGAAGUCUUGCUUGUAGCGUCUAUGGCAGCGAGAGGUGAGGUGACGAUCUAUGCCACAAAGCUGACAAGCCUGAGGAGCACCGAACUAGAACAGCAAGCAACUGGGCGGCUCCCGCCAGUGAUGGUCGGCGCGUUGCCCCGCGAGGCCUGCGACGAGGAAGCCGGUGGUUUGCCACCUGAUGGGGCCGGCUUCUGA